GACGAACCGUGCGAACGUUGUUCGGAAUCACUGGGCUUAAAGGGCGCGUAGGUGGCCUUCUAAGUUGAACGUGAAAUCCCUGGGCUCAACCCAGGAACUGCGUCCAAGACUGGGAGGCUUGAAUCCGGGAGAGGGAUGCGGAAUUCCAGGUGUAGCGGUGAAAUGCGUAGAUAUCUGGAGGAACACCGGUGGCGAAGGCGGCAUCCUGGACCGGUAUUGACACUGAGGCGCGAAAGCCAGGGGAGCAAACGGG
rnacentral:rRNA from 1 species